UUUCCGUAGGUGAACCUGCGGAAGGAUCAUUAAAAAUAUCACAGUUUAUUUGUGAUUUAAUAAUCAUCCUACCCUUUGUGAAUUUGUUUGUUUGAAAUAAUUUUUUAAAAAAAAUUAUUUAUGUUGUCUAUCCUGAGGAAAAGAAGUCGUUAAGAUAACUUUUCUUUAGGGAAUAGGCUUUCAUAAAUAAUUUAUUUUUAAAGACCUUUUUUUUAAAUUAAACAUUUGUAUUCAUUUGUCUAAAAUUUAUUUUUAAUAAUUUAAAAACAACUUUUGACAAUGGAUCUCUCGGUUCUCGCAACGAUGAAGAACGCAGCAAAAUGCGAUAAGUAAUGUGAAUUGCAGAAUACGUGAAUCAUCAAAUUUUCGAACGCAUAUUGCACUUUUUAGUUUACUAAAAAAGUAUGUCUGUUUGAGUAUCAGUAAAGUAUUCUCAUAAAAACUAUUGUUUUUAUGGUUAUGAGUGUUUUACAACGAUAACAAGUUGUUUCACUUUAAAUUGAUUUUUUUUAAAAGCCAAUUUUGGUUUUAUUAUAAAAUUGGAUAAAAUUUUCCCGUAAAAAGGAAUAAACUUUUCAGUUUUAAAAUAAUUCCUUAAUUGACCUAAAGAAAGGAAAUUUAUUUAAAAUAACUUGAUCUCAAAUCAGAUAAGAGUACCCGCUGAACUUAAGCAUAUCAAUAAGCGGAGGAAAAGAAACUAACAAGGAUUCCCCUAGUAACGGCGAGUGAAGCGGGAAGAGCUCAGAUUUGAAAUCUUCAAGGGUUUCCCUUGACGAAUUGUAGUUUAUAGAAGUGUUUUCUGUUAGAGAGGUGGUAAAAGUUCUUUGGAAUAGGACAUCAUAGAGGGUGAGAAUCCCGUAUUUGAUCACUUUCUACUAACGUUGUGAUACACUUUCAACGAGUCGGAUUGUUUGGGAAUGCAGUCCAAAAUGGGUGGUAAAUUUCAUCUAAAGCUAAAUAUUGGCGAGAGACCGAUAGCGAACAAGUACCGUGAGGGAAAGAUGAAAAGAACUUUGAAAAGAGAGUUAAACAGUACGUGAAAUUGUCAAAAGGGAAGCGUUUGACACCAGUGUUGUUUUCUCGAAAAUCAAUUAAGAAUGCGGAUUUUAGUUGUUAAGACCUUAAAGCUUUUCUGCUCUUUUCUUCUUCUUAAUGCACUUUCGUUAACAAGUCAACAUCAAUUUCUUUUGUUGUAAAAGGUAAUGGAAGGUGGCUUUCUUUCGGGAAAGUGUUUAUAGCCUUUACUCUGCAAUCGGAGAGAUUGAGGUCUGCAGCGUAGAUCCUUCGGGUUAGAUACGUUUGUGCUAAGCUAUAGCUUUCAUAGACAACUUGUUGACUAUGAUAGUCUGUAGCUUACUCGCAGAUGCUAUUUUACCUACGCUUAGGAUGUUGAA
rnacentral:misc_RNA from 1 species